rnacentral:rRNA from 1 species
UACGUAGGUGGCAAGCGUUGUCCGGAAUUAUUGGGCGUAAAGCGCGUGUAGGCGGCCCUGCAAGUCGGAUGUGAAAUCCCACGGCUCAACCGUGGAAGUGCAUUCGAAACUGCAGGGCUAGAGUCCUGGAGAGGAAGGUGGAAUGCUUGGUGUAGAGGUGAAAUUCGUAGAUAUCAAGCGGAACACCGGUGGCGAAGGCGGCCUUCUGGACAGUGACUGACGCUGAGACGCGAAAGCGUGGGGAGCAAACAGG